GGGGAUGUAGCUCAAAUGGUAGAACGCUUGCUUUGCAUGCGAGAAGUAUGGGGUUCGAUACCCCGCAUCUCCA
rfam:Nelumbo nucifera unplaced genomic scaffold scaffold00043, whole genome shotgun sequence